rnacentral:rRNA from 1 species
AUUGAACGCUGGCGGCAUGCUUUACACAUGCAAGUCGAACGGCAGCGCGGGGCAACCUGGCGGCGAGUGGCGAACGGGUGAGUAAUACAUCGGAACGUACCCAGAAGUGGGGGAUAACGUAGCGAAAGUUACGCUAAUACCGCAUACGUUCUACGGAAGAAAGUGGGGGACCUUCGGGCCUCAUGCUUUUGGAGCGGCCGAUGUCUGAUUAGCUAGUUGGUGAGGUAAAGGCUCACCAAGGCGACGAUCAGUAGCUGGUCUGAGAGGACGACCAGCCACACUGGGACUGAGACACGGCCCAGACUCCUACGGGAGGCAGCAGUGGGGAAUUUUGGACAAUGGGCGCAAGCCUGAUCCAGCAAUGCCGCGUGAGUGAAGAAGGCCUUCGGGUUGUAAAGCUCUUUUGUCAGGGAAGAAACGGCUGAGGCUAAUACCUUUGGCUAAUGACGGUA